UUGACUAUGGCAUUCAAAGCUUCAGAGAUUUUAGAGACAUCAUCAUCAGCCAACCCAACAGAACUAACCUCUUAUGGAAACCGCAUGUUAAAAACCAGCGAGAAACUCAUAUCUACAUUGGUGAAACCAACAGACACAAGUGACAAUGUCAGUUUUACUCUUGCUGCUGUAGAGGGACAAGUCUUCAUGGUUGGACCAAACGUCACCUUAGAUAAAAUCCCUCGACUUAACACGACAAAUUCUUCUGUGGACAUCGAUCUCAUUGGGAUCGCCAAGAACAGCAAUGAAAGAUCUGCUUCUGUGGCAUUCAUGAGCUACAACACAAUGGAGAAUCUACUGCAGCCAAACUUAUUCAACACAUCAAAUGACACGGAUAAAACCAUGAUGUCCACCGUGAUCUCAGCUACUCUUCCCAAAACCAACAACACUGAACUCACCAAACCAGUCAACUUCACCUUCAAACACAUCAGAGUAAAAGACUGAAAUGUGCUUUUGUCCAACCGCAACAUCAUCUAAUAUUCAGUGUUGUAAUAUUUUCUGCAUGUUCUUUCUUCUUUUUGCAGGAGCUCGACCCCAGCGGUUCUCUGUCCUGUGUGUACUGGAAUGUCAGUGAGUGGGUUGUUGAUGGUUGUUCUGUUUUAAAGACCAACAGCAGCUUCACCGUGUGUUCCUGUGUCCAUCUGUCAACAUUCGCUCUCAUCAUGGAAACCCCAUCAAACCAGCUCUCAUCAGAGAGCGACUCACUGCUGAAUCUGAAUUUGGUGUGUGUGAUCGUGGGGCUGGUGUUCUUCAGUUUGGCCCUGUUGUCCUUUGCCCUUUGUCAGUGGAGUCCUGGAGUGAAUAAUGUGGCUCGAAUCAACCUCUGCAUGAGUUUGCUGUUGGCUCACCUUCUGUUC